CAGCUGUGGCUUAUCAGGGGUGAGGUUGUCUGUAACCCAUUCUCCUAUAUAGAACUAAAUUUGUAUUGUGAAAGUGAUGUAAGGGUCAAGUUAGGGAGUUGGACCCCUUAAAAUACAUUUGGAGACACUGCAAUUUUCUUCCAGCUAAUGACAGAUCUGAGAGUAUUUUGUUCUAUGACCUCCUGUAAGAGUUAUUUCCAGAAUGUAAUGAAGAUGACAUUUCAUGAUUUGGAGAUUUUUUUGGAAACAGUCUACAUCAUCAGGGCAAGGGAAGAGAGAAAUAGGGCAGAGCUGUAGUCAUUACUCCUCUGAGAAGCAGCAUGGGCUUGCUAUCAUGCAUUUAUGCAAUGCCUUAAACAGAGGAGCUCUCUGGAAAAGACCCCAAAGAACCAUGUUAAUAAAACCAGUAAGUAAGAAUUGUAUUUCUCAUUCCAAAAAUAAGAAAUUACAUGAAGGUUUAACUGACUGGAACUCUGCCCCACAGCCUAUUUACUGGAAGAGAGUAGUGUGUUAUGAUAAAUGGUGUGUGAAUAUAAAUUUUAAAGCCAAGUUUCAUUUGCUUUUGAAGCAAAAGAGUGCUGAUAUCGGUGUACCACAGACACACCUGUGUCACUCUGGCUAUUUUUUAAAUAGCCCAUUGCUGAAGAAUAAUACCUGAUACUUGUAUUUAUUUUUAGAGGGGAGUAAUUUUCUGAUUUCUUCUACCAUUUUCUUCCCACAAUGUCCUUUGGUUUCUCAGGCUGUUUGAUUACUUUCAGGUCAUACUGUCACAGUAGUUUAAAACAUAAAUAUCUGGUAUGCCUUCUGCACACUGCAUUGUAUUUCACGUUACACUUCCUUUAGACACCAUGUCAAAGUGACCUUUGCUUCUCCAUCAUGGGGACUGAAGCAAAAGGGAGGUUUUGUAGAUAUAUAUUGAGAUUACCUGGUAAUGAACUCUGUGAUUCUUUCCUCUGUGUUACCAUAUUCCUCCCACCAUCCCCAAGCCACAAGUACUGUAAAGGUACCUUUCUUGUUCUGUCUUUGCAAUGUGACUGUUUUCUAUGAACCUGCUGUUUUGUAGCUGAUUCAGGUCUACUACAUAGCCCUAACAUUAUUUUAUUACAUUGCUGAUAUAUUUUUGUAAGAUUAAAUCCCUAAUUUGGAAUCCUGUAUUCUUUUGCUCUGAGACUGCGUGUGAAGGCAGAACUUUCAAAUCAAGUGUGAAGAGGUAGAAUGCUGUCAUGAAUUAAAAACACAUGCAUCAGGAAAUGCAUAGUUGAAAUUAACUGAGUUUUUCUCCUUUUCUCUUCCCUCCUUCUCUCAUCUGGGUUCUUGUGAGUACAACUUGGUCUUUGAAAUAGCAAUUGUAUUUCCCCAGCAUCAUGCUUCAGACAGAGAUUGUAGUUAAUUGCAUGUUCAUGAGAUAUCUAUGGAAAGGAGACAAAAAAGUUGCUUGUCCUAUCAUGUCUGGAGUACAUGUCUCCUAUGCAGCCUGUCAGAAAGGGAAUAUGACUUGGGGAUAACUUCACAUCUGCUUUAGAAACUUGACCCACAGUCAACCUUCUGCCGACUGAUUUUUUUAUUGACUGCUGCUUUCUAACCUUUGUUCUGCUUCCCUGUUUCUCUGCUAGUCCCAUAACUUGGCUAUCAGAUCACAGGUCUCUUCCCAUAGCCACAGAAAUGUCUGAAAGUGUCCAUAUAGGCAGAUCAGGCAGGAGCGGAAUAAUAAGGGAUUGUAUCUUUAUUGUGAAAACAGACUCUUCCCUUCACACACAGAUUAGGAAAUAAAGAUGUUUUUAAAGGCA
ensembl:lncRNA